rnacentral:rRNA from 1 species
GUGGGGAAUCUUGCGCAAUGGGCGAAAGCCUGACGCAGCCAUGCCGCGUGAAUGAUGAAGGUCUUAGGAUUGUAAAAUUCUUUCACCGGGGACGAUAAUGACGGUACCCGGAGAAGAAGCUCCGGCUAACUUCGUGCCAGCAGCCGCGGUAAUACGAAGGGGGCUAGCGUUGCUCGGAAUUACUGGGCGUAAAGGGCGCGUAGGCGGACAGCUUAGUCAGAGGUGAAAGCCCAGGGCUCAACCUUGGAAUUGCCUUUGAUACUGGCUGUCUUGAGUUUGGGAGAGGUGACUGGAAUUCCGAGUGUAGAGGUGAAAUUCGUAGAUAUUCGGAGGAACACCAGUGGCGAAGGCGGCUCACUGGCUCGAUACUGACGCUGAGGUGCGAAAGCGUGGGGAGCAAACAGGAUUAGAUACCCCGGUAGUCC